rnacentral:sRNA from 1 species
UCCAACUGAUCAUGUACCACGUCCCGCCUU